ACUGCUAGAGUCCGCCAACUCCGCCAUUUUGUGUUACAUCCGGUUGCGGCGUUUGGUGACGCUUUAUUUAAUAUUGUUGUUUCUGUAUUUAUAAUACUAUUGGUGAAACUGUUGAGUCGUUUUGAUUAAUUUCAUAUUCUUCUCUAAGUAAACUAAGUAAGAUCAAUGAUAUAAUACAUUUAAUGCGUAAUAUUUCAAAACUGCGAACUGCUUAAUGUGCAAUGUCUCGCUACGGUGAUUGUAAAGUUUAUGUUGGUGAUCUUGGAAACAAUGCAAGCAAACCUGAAUUAGAAGAUGCGUUUUCCUACUAUGGUCCUUUAAGAAACGUGUGGGUAGCUAGAAACCCGCCAGGAUUUGCUUUUGUCGAGUUUGAAGAUCCACGUGAUGCUGAAGAUGCAAUUCGGGGCUUGGAUGGACGGACGAUAUGCGGCCGGCGCGCUCGUGUAGAAAUGUCAAACGGAGGACGUGGUUAUGGAGGACGUGGACCACCUCCUCGUUCCAGGUUACCACCUCGUCCUUACGAUGACCGUUGUUAUGACUGUGGUGAUCGCGGCCACUAUGCCAGAGACUGCACUCGCCGUCGCCGCCGCAGGUUAUCAUUGGCCUGUGCGCCGAGAACGAACUCUUCAGUGUCUGCACUUCUUAUAGUCUGCGCUACGUAGCUUUCACUUCGCGCCGUGUACUCCACUAAUGUUGGCAGCAACUGUAACUUCGCUCUGUGAACUACGUAACUACAGCCUACGUGCACACUUCACUUAUUGAGAAAUACAUUGAGUGUAAUGUUCGUUCUGCGCAUCGCGACACACAUCUAUUGUAAUCACUGCGUGCACUCACCGGUCGAGGUCCCGUCGUCGCACACGUUCUCGUUCGCCGAGGUCUGGUUCCCGCUCACGAAGCCGUUCCCGUUCUAGAUCUCGCUCCAAAGGAAGGUCUAUCUCACGUUCGAGAUCACGUUCACCAUCAAAGGAUUCAAAGAAAUCAAACUAAAGCAAGAUAAUAGAAUUGCAAAUUCCAUUUCGUUUGUCAUUUUUAUUAGUAUAAAAAUAUCAUCUAUGGUGUUUUGUAAGAUUUGAGUAAAAAUCUGUCCACCAUGUUUGCAAGAUUAUUAUUAUCAUUCCUUUGUAAUUAUUACUGUAAGAUACAACAAGUAUUCAUCCGUAUUAACAUCAAUACACUGACAUGAAAAUAAAAUUGUUUUAUGCAACUUAA